CAAUAGCGUAUAUUAAAGUUGUUGCGGUUAAAAAGCUCGUAGUCGGAUUUUGGCACCAUGCCGAACUGUCUGCCGAUUGGUUUGUACGGUUUGGCGGGUGCUUCCUUCCGGAAGCCCGCGUUUUCUUCACUGAAGGGCGCGGUGAGUCCGGAUCAUUUACUUUUGAAAAAAUUAAGAGUGUUCAAAGCAGGCCUAUGCUCUGAAUAGGUUAUCAUGGAAUAAUAGAAUAGGACUUCGGUACUAUUUUGUUGGUUUCUAGGACCGAAGUAAUGAUUAAUAGGGACAGUUGGGGGCGAUUCAUAUUCCAUUGUUCAGAGGUGGAAAUUACUUUGGUAUUAACGGAAGAUGAACUACUGCGAAAGCAUCUGCCAAGGAUGUUUUCAUUGAUCAAGAACGAAAGUUAGGGAGUCGAAGAUGAUUAGAUACCAU
rnacentral:rRNA from 1 species